rnacentral:rRNA from 1 species
UUACUAGAGCAAAGGAUAGACAGCGCCCGCGGAGCUCGCUCCCGGGGCCACCCUACUCCGGUAGGGUUUAGAGUCGUCGGGCCUCUCGGAGAAGCUCGGUCCUGAACUCCACCCUUGAAUAAACUACCUUUGUUGCUUUGGCGGGCCGCCUCGUGCCAGCGGCUUCGGCUGUUGAGUGCCCGCCAGAGGACCACAACUCUUGUUUUUAGUGAUGUCUGAGUACUAUAUAAUAGUUAAAACUUUCAACAACGGAUCUCUUGGUUCUGGCAUCGAUGAAGAACGCAGCGAAAUGCGAUAAGUAAUGUGAAUUGCAGAAUUCAGUGAAUCAUCGAAUCUUUGAACGCACAUUGCGCCCUCUGGUAUUCCGGGGGGCAUGCCUGUUCGAGCGUCAUUAUAACCACUCAAGCUCUCGCUUGGUAUUGGGGUUCGCGGUUUCGCGGCUCCUAAAAUCAGUGGCGGUGCCUAUCGGCUCUACGCGUAGUAAUACUCCUCGCGAUUGAGUCCGGUAGGUCUACUUGCCAGCAACCCCUAAUUUUUUAAGGUUGACCUCGGAUCAGGUAGGGAUACCCGCUGAACUUAAGCAUAUCAAUAAGCGGAGGAAAAGAAACCAACAGGGAUUACCUCAGUAACGGCGAGUGAAGCGGUAACAGCUCAAAUUUGAAAGCUGGCUCUUUUAGGGUCCGCGUUGUAAUUUGUAGAAGAUGCUUCGGG